rnacentral:rRNA from 1 species
AAUAGAUACCCAGGUAGUCCACCCCGUAAACGUUGGGAACUAGUUGUGGGGUCCAUUCCACGGAUUCCGUGACGCAGCUAACGCAUUAAGUUCCCCGCCUGGGGAGUACGGCCGCAAGGCUAAAACUCAAAGGAAUUGACGGGGACCCGCACAAGCGGCGGAGCAUGCGGAUUAAUUCGAUGCAACGCGAAGAACCUUACCAAGGCUUGACAUAUACGAGAACGCUGCAGAAAUGUAGAACUCUUUGGACACUCGUAAACAGGUGGUGCAUGGUUGUCGUCAGCUCGUGUCGUGAGAUGUUGGGUUAAGUCCCGCAACGAGCGCAACCCUCGUUCUAUGUUGCCAGCACGUAAUGGUGGGAACUCAUGGGAUACUGCCGGGGUCAACUCGGAGGAAGGUGGGGAUGACGUCAAAUCAUCAUGCCCCUUAUGUCUUGGGCUUCACGCAUGCUACAAUGGCCGGUACAAGGGCUGCAAUCCGUAAGGUGGAGCGAAUCCCAAAAAGCCGGUCCAGUUCGGAUUGAGGUCUGCAACUCGA